CCUACGGGUGGCAGCAGUGGGGAAUAUUGGACAAUGGGCGAAAGCCUGAUCCAGCCAUGCCGCGUGUGUGAAGAAGGCCUUCGGGUUGUAAAGCACUUUCAGUGGGGAAGAAAGCCUUGGGGCUAAUACCCUCGAGGAAGGACAUCACCCACAGAAGAAGCACCGGCUAACUCCGUGCCAGCAGCCGCGGUAAUACGGAGGGUGCGAGCGUUAAUCGGAAUUACUGGGCGUAAAGCGCGCGUAGGCGGUCUGAUAAGCCGGUUGUGAAAGCCCCGGGCUCAACCUGGGAACGGCAUCCGGAACUGUCAGGCUAGAGUGCAGGAGAGGAAGGUAGAAUUCCCGGUGUAGCGGUGAAAGGCGUAGAGAUCGGGAGGAAUACCAGUGGCGAAGGCGGCCUUCUGGACUGACACUGACGCUGAGGUGCGAAAGCGUGGGUAGCAAACAGGAUUAGAUACCCGGGUAGUC
rnacentral:rRNA from 1 species